rnacentral:rRNA from 1 species
UAACAAAAACAUGGUUUUUUGAUUAUAAUUUAAGAUUGGUUCUGCUCACUGAAUUAUAAAUUUAAAGAGCUGCAGUAUUCUGACUGUGCAAAGGUAGCAAAGUCAUUUGUUUUUUAAUUGUAAACUGGAAUGAAAGAGCUGAUGAGAUAUAAACUGUCUCGGAUUAAUUAAUAGAAAUUAAAAUUUAAGUUAAAAUUCUUAAAUUAGAUUAUUAGACGAGAAGACCCUAUAGAAUUUUAUAAAUUUUGUUUAUUUUUUAUAAAAAGAUUUAAAUUAAUGAGGAGUAAAUUUAAUUUAUUUAAUUGGGAGGAUUAUUAAAUUUAUUUAACUUUAAGUUUUAAGACCAAUGAUUUUUGAUUAAUUGAUUUAAAAAUAAUUAAUAGAUUAAAUUACCUUAGGGAUAACAGCGUAAUAUUUUUGGAGAGAUCAUAUUAAUAAAAAUGUUUGCGACCUCGAUGUUGAAUUAAGAUAAAAAUUAAAUGUAGCAGUUUAAUAUUUAAGUCUGUUCGACUUUUGAAAUCUUACGUGAUCUGAGUUC